GGGCAGGUACUAUCGUGUGUGAAGGUAGACAAAUCAUAAAUCCCUGACCAUAUCGAACAUAUCGAGGACAUUGUGGGAAACCAGAGAUUAAAUUGCGGGAGUCUCUGGUUGAAAUUUACAAGUCAUCUUUAAAUAUAGGAGAGGUGCCUGAAAGCAGGCUAUUAUCUAUUAUCUAAAUGGUGGCCGAUUGGGAAAGGGGGAGAUGCAGCGAGACCUGGGUGUCAUGGUACACCAGUCAUUGAAGGUAGGCAUGCAGGUGCAGCAGGCAGUAAAGAAAGCGAAUGGUAUGUUAGCUUUCAUUGCAAAAGGAUUUGAGUAUAGGAGCAGAGAGGUUCUACUGCAGUUGUACAGGGUCUUGGUGAGACCACACCUGGAGUAUUGCGUACAGUUUUGGUCUCCAAAUCUGAGGAAGGACAUUAUUGCCAUAGAGGGAGUGCAGAGACGGUUCACCAGACUGAUUCCUGGGAAGUCAGGACUGUCUUAUGAAGAAAGACUGGAUAGACUUGGUUUAUACUCUCUAGAAUUUAGAAGAUUGAGAGGGGAUCUUAUAGAAACUUACAAAAUUCUUAAGGGGUUGGACAGGCUAGAUGCAGGAAGAUUGUUCCUGAUCUUGGGGAAGUCCAGGACAAGGGGUCACAGCUUAAGGAUAAGGGGGAAAUCCUUUAAAACCGAGAUGAGGAGAACUUUUUUCACACAGAGAGUGGUGAAUCUCUGGAACUCUCUGCCACAGAGGGUAGUUGAGGCCAGUUCAUUGGCUAUAUUUAAGAGGGAGUUAGAUGUGGCCCUUGUGGCUAAGGGGAUCAGGGGGUAUGGAGAGAAGGCAGGUACGGGAUACUGAGUUGGAUGAUCAGCCAUGAUCAUAUUGAAUGGCGGUGCAGGCUCGAAGGGCCGAAUGGCCUACUCCUGCACCUAAUUUCUAUGUUUCUAUGUUUCUAUGUGCCGGAAGACUGGAGCGUGGCAAAUGUUGUAUCUUUAUUCAAGAUGGGCUGCAGGGAAAAUUUUGGGAACUAUAGGCCAAUGAGCUUAACAUCUUUAGUUGGAAAUUAACUAGAGGGUAUUCUGAGGGACAGGAUAAACAGGCAUUUGGACAGACAAGGGCUGAUUAGGGAUAGUCAGCAUGGUUUACUAUGUGGGAGGUCAUGACUUACAAAUUUGAUUCACUUUUUUGAAGAGGUGACCAAAAAGGUUUAUGAGGCCAGAGCUGUAGAUGUUGUAUAUAUAUGGACUUCAGUAAAGCAUUCCACAAGCUUCCUUAUGGACGGCUGCUUCGGAAGGUUAGAACGCAUUGAAUCCAAGCAGAGAUACAGGACUGAAUGGAUAGAGAAUUGGCUUUAUGGAGGGAAGCAGAGGGUGAUGGUGAAGGUUGCUUCAUGGACUGGAUGCCUGUGACAAGUGGUGUGCCUAAGGGUGUGGUGUUGUGCCCGUUACUGUUUGUCACUGUUAGGCGCUUCCCCCUCCUGGUGAAUGCUAUGUACUUACCUUUCUCUGUUUCUCUCCUGAGUACAGGCCUCGUGGCUGUGAGUCUGGAAUCAAGGGGUUAAAGGCUCCUGUACCCGAUUGGCCAAGCUGCGUCAGGUGACGGGUGACUCAUCUGAAGCUUAAAUACCAGAGUCUCCCAGGAUUCUCUCUCUUCUUCGUCGACCCUGACUGAUGAGCAGACUGCUGGUGUGGGCUGAGGGAGGCCUGGCCACAUGGCAUAGAACUUUGUGUAUUUUCACCAUUCCUUGGUAACAAAUAUUGAAUUGGGACGGAUAAGGGCUGACCUUAGUGUUUUUGUGUGUUUUGUUUCAGGGUUAUAUCUCUUUAGGCAGGUUUUAGAGUCUCCGGUUCGACGGUCCAUCACGUGGCUGGCUGGAGCAUUGUUAAAUUGUUUGUCAGUUCAUCCAUAUCCAUGACUGGGUUGUUUAAAUCAGGUUUGGGUUUUGUGUUCCAUUGAAUAAUUAAAACUAUUUUUGAACGAACCUGGUUUUUGCCUUGUGUUACGCGGCUCUGAAGUACCUGCAUUCGGGAGUCGUAACAGUCACCUAUAUCAAUGAUUAGGAUGAGAACAUAUAUGGCAAGAUUAGCAAGUUUGCUGAUGAUACAAAAGUGGGUGGUUUUGCAGAUAAUGAAGAUGGUUGUGAAAAAUUGCAGCUUGAACUUGAUUAAUUGGCCAAGUGGGCUGAGGAAUGGUGGAUGGAAUUUAAUGCAGAAUAAUGUGUAAUGUUGUAUUUUGGGAUGUCUAACAUGGGGAGCACCAAUGGAGCGAAUGGUAAGACUCGGAAUAGUGAUGUUGAGUAGAGGUAUCUAAGGGCGCGGGUGCAUAGCUCCGUGAAGGUGGAGUUGCAGGUAGAUCGGGUGGACAAAAAGGCUUUUGGCACAUUUACCGACAUCAGCCAAAAUAUUGAGUAUAGAAGUUGGGAGGUCAUGUUGCAGUUAUAUAAGAUGUUGGUGAGGCUGCAUUUAGAGUAUUGUGUUCAGUUCUGGGCAUCUCUGGGUAGAAGGAAUGGGUGACAUUUCGAAUUGAGACCUUUCUUCAGACUGAGAGUCAGUGGAGAGGGAGACACAGAGAGAGGAUGUUGUUCCCUGUUCCAUGCAUACACUGGCCCUAUCCCCAAAUCUCUAUCUCUGUUACAUUGGUGUUACCCCCUGCACCUAUACAGAACUCAUGGACUUCAUUAACUUCACCACCAAUUGUCAUCCUGCACUCAAAUUCCGAUGGUCCAUCUCAAACACCUGCCUUUCCACUCUUGAUCUCACUGUCUCCAUCACAGGAGAUAGACUGUCGACUGACAUCUAUUAUAAACCUACAGACUGCCACAACUAUCUCGACAGCACUUCUUCCCACUCUGCUUCCUGCAAAGAUUCUAUUCCCUGCUCCCAAUUCCUCUGUCUACGCCGCAUCUUGUUUUCCGUACCAGGACAUCUGAGAUGUUCUCAUUCUUUAGGGAAUGGAGGUUCCCCUCUUCCCUCAGAGAUGAGGCCCUCACACGGUUGCAUGGUGGUACAGCGGUAGAGUUGCAGCCUUACAGCGAAUCGAUCUCCGGAGACCCGGGUUCGAUCCUGACUAUGGUUGCUGUCUGUAAGGAGUUUGUAUGUUCUCCCCGUGACCUGCAUGGGUUUUCUCCGAGAUCUUCGUUUUCCUCCCACACUUCCAAAGACCUACAGGUAUGUAGGUUAAUUAGCAUGGUAAAUGUAAAAACUGGACCUUGUGGUAUAGGAUAGUGUUAAUGUGCUGUAUGCACGGUAUAUGUUUAACCUGGAAAUCAAAGGUAAAACCUAUUUUCAAAUAGCUAAAACUUUCAGUGUGUUGAUUUCUGGAUCUUGUUGCCUGUGGGCUAGUUGCCAACCCCUUUGUGACGGCAAAAUAUGUUCAAGAGAGAAACAGGUACAAGAGAGAAAACCUGAGGGAGAGUUGACUGAGGACUGUUGGGACUGAAAGUAGCAAUUAAAGGAUAAUUCACGUGUUCAAACAUUCACAUAUCUUAACUUGUUUAGUUAAGGAAUUCCUUUCAGCAUUGCUUACAGGUGCAAGUUGUCAAUGCAUCAGUUGCUACAUGUUGCCAGCUUCUCUUCGCUUUUCUCUUGGGUGCAGCAGAUAGUUGCCCUCUUUCUGAAACCAUGAGCUUGCCUCUCCCUCUCCUAUGCCUCCCCUACCGUCAUUUGAUAAACUUUCAAAUUCACAGAAUUCAUAGUUUAUGACUUAAUGGGAAGUGUUCUUUGAUGUAAAUUGGCACCAGAAAAUACUGGGAUUUAUUCAUUGCUGACAGCUGGACACAUGCCAGAUAACUUUGUCAAUUGCUUAUGACCCCGUUUAUGUUGGACACACCUUAUCACACUAUUCAUUCCAUUAUCCCAAAGUUCAGCUGUUUUUUGUGUUUCACUCCUGGCAGCUCCGUGUCCUGGUGUAAACUACACCUUUGCCUCAAGCACAGCAGGAAAGAUAUUUUGUAAGUCUAGAUGCAUGUUUCCCACCCACCUGAAUACCUGUAACAAUCACUUCAGUGUAAAGCAAAGAUACUACAGGAGCAAGAUAGACCACGAGGCGAAAAAGCCGUAGUUGGUCAUGGGCGUCAAGGGUUCCCCACUAAAGACGAAAGAUGUCAACAAUGGGUCCAGAAUACUCGUUGACAAGAUCUCCGACACCGAACUACGUACUUUUCAAAGAACUGCCUUUGUUCUGAACACACUGUAUAUCUCACACAUAAAACAAUGUAAAUUGUGUAAAUCUUACCAUAAAUGACAGAAAUAAAAAGUGUUAUCCUUG